rnacentral:rRNA from 1 species
UUUUGGAGCAUAGUGGUAUCCUGAGUAGGGCGGGACCAGAGGAAUCCCGUCUGAAUCCACCGGUACCAUCCGGUAAGGCUAAAUACUCCUGAGAGACCGAUAGUGAACCAGUACCGUGAGGGAAAGGUGAAAAGAACCCCGAAUAGGGGAGUGAAAUAGAACCUGAAACCAUGCGCCUACAAGCGGUCGGAGCCCUUUCGUGGGGUGACGGCGUGCCUUUUGCAUAAUGAGCCUACGAGUUACUCCUCCCUGGCGAGGUUAAGUGUGUCAACACACGGAGCCGCAGCGAAAGCGAGUCUGAACAGGGCGCACAGUCAGGGGGGGUAGACGCGAAACUUUGUGAUCUACCCUUGGGCAGGAUGAAGUUGCGGUAACACGCAAUGGAGGUCCGAACCAGUUUCCGUUGAAAAGGAUUUGGAUGACCUGAGGGUAGGGGUGAAAGGCCAAUCAAACUGAGAAAUAGCUCGUACUCCCCGAAAUGCCUUUAGGGGCAGCGUCGAGGUGGAGUCUCAUGGAGGUAGAGCUACCGAUAGGACUAGGGGGAGUCAAAUCCUACCGAAUCCUGACGAACUCCGAAUGCCAUGAGACAUACUCGGCAGUGAGGCUUGGGGUGCUAAGGUCCCAGGCCGAGAGGGAAAGAACCCAGACCGCCAGCUAAGGUCCCUAAAUAUACGCUAAGUUGAACAAAGGAGGUCCAGUUGCCUAGACAGCCAGGAUGUUGGCUUGGAAGCAGCCAUUCAUUUAAAGAGUGCGUAACAGCUCACUGGUCGAGCGACAGGGCAUCGAUAAUAAUCGGGCAUCAAGCGUAUUACCGAAGCUGCGGAUAGAAUCUGAUUCUGUGGUAGGGGAGCAUUCCCGUC